CCGCCUGCAAGAGGGGAGAAUCUGCAUCAUUCAUUCAAUCGGUGUACCAUGUGCGUGCGGCCUAUAGUACAACGGCGCCACGGCAUAUCAGCCAAUCACGGACAAGCGGGAAUUUUGACGCAGAGUGGCAACCAAUCACAGCAAGGUGAGGCACAGCAACUGUACUAAUUAUAAUAACCGGCAAUGGGAGAGACGUCAGAGACGACGAGCGACAAGCGUCUUCCUUCAUCAUUUAAUUGCGGCAAGAGAGUAGAGAGAGUAUGAGAUACCUAUGUAAACAAGGGCACGCUGACACGGAUUUUUAAUUUCCGUGGCUAGCGAAUAAUUCAAUAAAGCGACUAGGACACUUUAAACGUUCGCAAGUCGCGGCUCGAGACGUCAUUCAAGGAGUACGAGUUUGAUGUGGAAAUAAUGCAGCUUAGUGAUGAUGACAAGGAAGAUGUGUAUAUGGGAAAUUAUUACUCGGCCCUAAGUUCCCUGAGCAGCCAAAUGUCUUUGCUCUCCGGCACGGUUAUUCGCCCAGCACGCCGUCAACGGCGUCUGCCAGACUCAAUCUACGUCAAAUACAAAAUAAACCUUUCACCGCACUGAUUAGAUACCUUCACGGCACAAGCAUGUCAGAUAGAAAGAGACCUGAAGACCGACUCAUCGCUCAGGGAGUUCCUUGAGUACGAACGAACGAUGAGCCUUGGCUCUGGAAACUGCUCACCAGGGUAUGGCAAGGAAGAAACUUGCUGUCAACGUCGCUACCAACUCGGGAGCCUCCGGAUGUCUAAAAUGUUAGUCAGAGCGCCUCUCAUCGUAUAAUGAGCAGCCUACGCCGCCCUUCAUAAACACCAAGUACCCCACUACUCUAAUAACGCAGUGAAGUUCACGGGUGCAGACAACUAGUUUGCUGAGUUGCACAAGCUGCUCGCAUCUCUGAUCCACCAAACACAGGUGACAUUCCAUGCUUCUCACCUGUGUUUGGUGGCCUCUACUCUCCUUCACUGUUUUGUGUCAGAUUGAAGCCAUGCUAAACUUUGGUUCAUUUUUCACUAACAACAAUUUUUUAUGAAUAUUGUUAUGAUGUUUUCUUUUUGUGUUUUUUUUGUGACUAUAAACAGAUGAGUUGUGUUUAUAUGGCAUGGAGGACGCUACUCCCAGCGAAGGCAGUCCUUUCUUUGAAGUAGUCAUUCGGUCUGACUGUCCUUAUCGAAAAAGUCUCGUUUCUUUUUUAGACAACGUAUGGUUUCUGGAAUGGUUAGUUGCCCCGCAAAAUGAUUUGGGUGCAUUUCUAAUCUUUUUUUGUACUGCGUUCCACGAUUGCAUAUUUCAUUGGUACAUUUAGAAUUUCGUGCACUUCUAUUGUUUUGAUGAACCAUGGUGCGUUGUAUAAAUGUUUUAAUAUGUAGUUUUGCACCCUUUGUAUUACCAUUACAUUAGAAGCGCUGGCAGAGCCCCACAGUUCUAUGCCGUAUGUCCAAAUCGGUUUUAGAAUUGCUGUGUAAACUAGUAACUUGUUGUCAGUAGUUAGUUUAGAGUUUCGACCCAGCAGCCAAUAUAGACCCUUGUAUUGUUAUGAUGUAUAAUGUUUUCUUUUUAAGAAUAACUGUUGUAGAUGUACCUAUAGUUGGGUUAAAUAGUUCAUCUUACUAUUUAAGCUAAUUAUUACUAUUUGUACUUAACUUUUCUCAAUCUGUUGAAAAUGUAUCUUGUAACUACUGUAAAUAAUUCAAUGUUAUUUCAAUAUAGUCCGCUUUACACUA